AACACCUUAUGUCAUGCACUCCUAAAUGACGUCAUUUACAAAUGUAAACAAUGUGAAUGAUCAAUGAAGGAGUUCCCGUCACGGAGAAGAAAAUGGACAAUUCAUUGAAAAACACGCUCUAUUAUCUAAAUUUUAAUAUACCAGAAGCAAAACAGAAUGUCAGAUACAUUUACGCAUUUUUCAAACAGUGGCUAUACCUUUCAUGUAACUAUUUAUGUGUUGCUUAUCAUAUGAAUUGAAUUGUAACACUUCUUAGUGACUGGAUAGGUUAAACCAAUGCCUUCCUAGAAAACUACGACAUCAGUGAACAACACCUGACCUUUUGCUGUUCCUGCUAAUAAAGUAAAAAUGGCUUCACUAGAAAAGGACGACACCUAGAACAUGUAGAAAAAGCAUCAAUUCUUUGGCUUUCCUGAUUGAAGGAUUUAUUUUUACAACUCCAGUGUAUAAUAUGCCAUUAUAAACAAUUUUUACCAUAGUAUAAUGCUAUAAAUUCACUAAUUUUCAUAUCUAUUAGCUAAUCCAGUUAGAUAUCAACUUAUGAUAUGCAGUGAAGACAGAUCAUUGCAAAUUGUUUACAUUACCGAUAAUUAAAAUACAUGUAUGCAUGUUUGGCAUACAUCUUUGUAAAGCAAA